rnacentral:rRNA from 1 species
GACGAACGCUGGCGGCGUGCUUAACACAUGCAAGUCGAACGGAAAGUCCCUGCUUUUGUGGGGUGCUCGAGUGGCGAACGGGUGAGUAACACGUGAGUAACCUGCCCUUGACUUUGGGAUAACUUCAGGAAACUGGGGCUAAUACCGGAUAGGAUUUCCUGCUGCAUGGUGGUGGUUGGAAAGUUUCGGGGGUUCGGGCGGUUGUCGCGGCUUCUCAGCCUGUUGGUGGGGUAGUGGCUUAACAAGGCCUUGACGGGUAGCCGGCCUGAGAGGAUAAACGGCCAAGUUGGGAAUGGGAGACGGCCGAGAGGCAUACGGGGGGAAGGAGUGGGGAAUAAUGGAGAAUGGGCGGAAGAGGGAUGAAGCAACGCGGCGUGCGGGAUGACGGCGUUAGGGUUGUAAACCGAUUUCGCGUGUGGCGAGGCGUGAGGGAGGGAAAUGGGUAAAGAGGCACGGGCAAACUACGU